rnacentral:misc_RNA from 1 species
UCGGUGGCUUUCUUUUUAGGAAGUGUAGUUUAUCGUUAGAAUGCUGCUUUUGUAAAGCAGCGGUGUGAUCUUGUGACUUCUUUAGCCUUGAGGUUGUGGUGAAUCUUGUGUUUAGUGGGUGUCGUACCUUUUGCAUCAUGAUUCCUUGAAAGAGUUCGGUUAGUCUGGCGUCUCGAAAGGCGGUGAUUCGGGUUUGCCUUGUUUUUAGAACUUAGGGGUUGGUGGGCAACCAAAGUUGAAAGGUAGGUCCGGAGGCGACAUGCAUUACGUACCGUCUGAUAGCUAGUUGGCGGAGUCUAGUUUUCGAACUGUGGCCCUGUUGCUUUGAUGUGGUGGGGUUGUCAAGAGGGCUUUUUGGGUUGAUGAGUUAGUUAGGUUAGAGGUACCUUGUUUUAGCUUCGUGUUAUGACGAUUGACUCGAAUUGUUUGGGCUUUUUGGUUUAGUGCUCUGGACUUAGGCGUAACGGUCUGUUUUCAAGUGUGAGGUAAUGAGUAGUUUGAAUAGUUUCCUUUUUUCUCGGAGAUCUUCGGUCUGUUUCUCAAAAACAUUUCCAUCAGGAAGGUUUGAUGGUAGUGCCUGCCCGAUGUUUGCAAUCAAUGGCCGCAGUAUCUUGACUGUGCUAAGGUAGCAUAAUCAGUUGCCUUGUAAUUGAAGGAUUGUUUGAACGGUUUGACCAGGGGAUGCGUCUAGGUGGAGGCUAUCUCUGAAGUUAGGUGGCUGGUGCAGAUCCCAGCGAUUUUUAAUCAGACGGAAAGACCCCGAGAGCUUUGGCAGUUUUGUGCUUACUUGGGGGCAAGGGCAAAU